rnacentral:rRNA from 1 species
CCAGACUCCUACGGGAGGCAGCAGUGAGGAAUAUUGGUCAAUGGGCGCAAGCCUGAACCAGCCAAGUCGCGUGAGGGAAGACGGCCCUACGGGUUGUAAACCUCUUUUGCCGGGGAGCAAGCCUGAGCACGUGUGCCCAGGCGGAGAGUACCCGGAGAAAAAGCAUCGGCUAACUCCGUGCCAGCAGCCGCGGUAAUACGGAGGAUGCGAGCGUUAUCCGGAUUUAUUGGGUUUAAAGGGUGCGCAGGCGGGCUUUUAGGCCGGGGGUAAACGCCGGGGGCUAAACCCCGGCGAGCCGUUGAAACUGGCUGUCUUGAGAUGUCGAGAGGUAUGCGGAAUGCGCAGUGUAGCGGUGAAAUGCUUAGAUAUUGCGCAGAACUCCGAUUGCGAAGGCAGCAUACCGGCGGCGAUCUGACGCUGAGGCACGAAAGCGUGGGUAUCGAACAGGAUUAGAUACCCCUGUA